CGGAGGCGGCACCGCGCGGCGCACGGACCUGGGACGCGGAGUCCUGAAGCCGGCGGACGGUUUUCGUACGGGCGGCCGUGCGCGAGGCGAGGAGAGAACAUUGAAAGUAUUCUCUAAGCUAUUUGAAGAGAGUGACUAAAUGCACCUGGGUCAGGCUGUCUGUGGGUAUGAAGUGGUUGGGAGAAUCCAAGAACAUGGUGGUGAAUGGCAGGAGAAAUGGAGGCAAGUUGUCUAAUGACCAUCAGCAGAAUCAAUCAAAAUUACAGCACACGGGGAAGGACACCCUGAAGGCUGGCAAAAAUGCAGUCGAGAGGAGGUCGAACAGAUGUAUGUACACACUUAAACCUUCAAUGUUCUGAUUGUGAUAUGGGGUAGUAAUUCUUUCCAGUUUGUAAUGUGUAUUCUGUUUUCUUUUGUCUUAAAUAAUUUUUUGCAUUUUCAUAAUUAACAAUAUAGUCUUUUUACUCUCAAAGUUGUGUCAAUUUUUAUUCUCAUCAAACUAUAUAAAACUCAAGUUUAAUGCUUCAUAUAAUUAUUUUAAUCAUGCUUUUCUGUCUGUUACUUUAUAUUUUGUAGAAUUUACCUGAAUGGUUGAUAUGUCUUACUAAAUUUUUAAAAUUUUAAUUGAACUUCUUACA
rnacentral:lncRNA from 1 species